AGCUCCAUAGUGUAGCGGUUAACACGUCUGCUUUACACUCAGAAGGUCUUGGGUUCGCGCCCCAGGUGGAGCCA
rfam:Pteropus alecto contig35482, whole genome shotgun sequence.